rnacentral:rRNA from 1 species
UACGUAGGGUGCGAGCGUUAAUCGGAAUUACUGGGCGUAAAGCGUGCGCAGGCGGUUCUGUAAGUCAGCUGUGAAAGCCCCGGGCUUAACCUGGGAACUGCGGUUGAAACUACAGGACUAGAAUCUGGCAGAGGGGGGUGGAAUUCCACGUGUAGCAGUGAAAUGCGUAGAGAUGUGGAGGAACACCGAUGGCGAAGGCAGCCCCCUGGGCUGAGAUUGACGCUCAGGCACGAAAGCGUGGGGAGCAAACAGG